AUGUAUUUACAGCCUGAACAGAUACAUUCCUUAACAGUCCAGUUGGUAAUCUCAGCCAGGAGGUCAAGAUUUGAAAGAACACUGAAAAAUGAAAUACUAGGCCAAGAUUACAGUAUUCUGUUUGAAGAUGUGUACAGAUGGCUUUGUUGGAAGGUGGAGCACAGCUCAGUGACACUGAGCAGAGUGGUAGGAAGCAGCAGCUGUCCCUUCAGGAGCUUAUGGCAAAAAUAGUCAAAGACAGCAGUUCAGCAGCUUGGCUGUGUGAGCCAUAACUCCAUGGAGAGGGAACCAGUCACCUUUUAAGAUUAAAUCCAUCUCUGCUUCAUAUUUCCUGCAUAUCCCUUGUUGAAUACAAGGUGACAAAAUCCACAUGUUGAGUUCACAACAUGUUUGAGAAUAAGGAGAUCAUUAACUGGGUGCACAUCCUGACAGUGCUUGU
rnacentral:lncRNA from 1 species